AGGAGGAACAACCGCAGUGGCGGGGCCAGCUCUGUAGCCCUGGAGUCAGCCCCCGCAGUCGCUCCAGAGCUCUGGGUCUGCAGGGCCUGGAGGCUUGGGGCGGG
rnacentral:pre_miRNA from 1 species